rnacentral:rRNA from 1 species
GAUCAUGGCUCAGGAUGAACGCUAGCGGCAGGCUUAACACAUGCAAGUCGAGGGGCAGCGCGAGGUAGCAAUACUUGGCGGCGACCGGCGGAAGGGUGCGUAACGCGUGAGCAACUUGCCCGUAUCUGGGACAUAACCGGUGGAAACGCCGACUAAUUUCCCAUAACAACAGAGACCACAUGAUCUUUGUUUGAAAGCUUCGGUGGAUACGGAUGGGCUCGCGUGACAUUAGCUAGUUGGAGUGGUAACGGCACACCAAGGCGACGAUGUCUAGGGGUUCUGAGAGGAAGGUCCCCCACACUGGAACUGAGACACGGUCCAGACUCCUACGGGAGGCAGCAGUGAGGAAUAUUGGUCAAUGGGCGGAAGCCUGAACCAGCCGUGCCGCGUGCAGGAAUUAAAGGCCCUAUGGGUCGUAAACUGCUUUUGACGGGGAGCAAUAAGGGCUACGCGUAGCCCGAUGAGAGUACUCGUCGAAUAAGCAUCGGCUAACUCCGUGCCAGCAGCUGC